rnacentral:rRNA from 1 species
UACCAGUGGCGAAGGCGGCCUUCUGGACUGACACUGACACUGAGGUGCGAAAGCGUGGGUAGCAAACAGGAUUAGAUACCCUGGUAGUCCACGCCGUAAACGAUGUCGACCAGCCGUUGGGUGCCUAGCGCACUUUGUGGCGAAGUUAACGCGAUAAGUCGACCGCCUGGGGAGUACGGCCGCAAGGUUAAAACUCAAAUGAAUUGACGGGGGCCCGCACAAGCGGUGGAGCAUGUGGUUUAGUUCGAUGCAACGCGAAGAACCUUACCUACUCUUGACAUCCUGCGAACUUGUGAGAGAUCACUUGGUGCCUUCGGGAGCGCAGAGACAGGUGCUGCAUGGCUGUCGUCAGCUCGUGUUGUGAAAUGUUGGGUUAAGUCCCGUAACGAGCGCAACCCUUGUCCUUAUUUGCCAGCGGGUAAUGCCGGGAACUCUAAGGAGACUGCCGGUGACAAACCGGAGGAAGGUGGGGACGACGUCAAGUCAUCAUGGCCCUUACGAGUAGGGCUACACACGUGCUACAAUGGCCGGUACAAAGGGUUGCGAGCUCGCGAGAGUCAGCUAAUCCCGAAAAGCCGGUCUCAGUCCGGAUCGGAGUCUGCAACUCGACUCCGUGAAGUCGGAAUCGCUAGUAAUCGUGAAUCAGAAUGUCACGGUGAAUACGUUCCCGGGCCUUGCACACACCGCCCGU